AUCUUAUCAAGAGAGGUUUAGGGACUGGCCCGAUGAUACCUCAGCAACCAGCAAGUGAUUGUAUGGUGCUAAUUCCAGAGAAGAUAAGAA
rnacentral:ncRNA from 2 species